rnacentral:rRNA from 1 species
UACGUAGGGAGCAAGCGUUGUCCGGAAUCAUUGGGCGUAAAGCGCGCGUAGGCGGCCUCAUAAGUCCGUUGUGAAAGUCAAAGGCUCAACCUUUGAAAGCCGAUGGAUACUGUGAGGCUAGAGUCCGGAAGAGGCGAGUGGAAUUCCUGGUGUAGCGGUGGAAUGCGCAGAUAUCAGGAGGAACACCAAUAGCGAAGGCAGCUCGCUGGGACGGUACUGACGCUAAGGCGCGAAAGUGUGGGGAUCAAACAGG